rnacentral:lncRNA from 1 species
AGUACCUGCCGCCUUUUGUCGCACCGCUUGAAUCAGUGCCCCUGUUCUGGGCCUCUGGUUUCCUGAAAGAGCUUUAAACAUCGACCCACUCAAAGCUGGUUAUUGAGCUGUCCCACCCGUUGGCCUUUUUAACACUAGAAACAUAUUUUGGAACUGCAUGAAAAGAAACAGCUCUGAAAUAAGAGGUGUUUUGUGUAUGCGUUGUAUUUGGCACAUGUUUGCAUGACAAGAGGUAGGACUGUCUUGACUGCUGCAUUUUGCACGUGCCUUUCACAUUCGUGUAAGAGGUAUUUACAUGUUUUCCAGUGAGAAGACCUUUUGUUUUGCUGUAAAGCACUUUUGUCCGG